rnacentral:rRNA from 1 species
CGCUGGCGGCGUGCCUAAUACAUGCAAGUCGAACGGUCUUUCUAUGGAAGCUUGCUUCCACUGAGAAGAUAGUGGCGAACGGGUGAGUAACACGUGGGUAACCUGCCCAUAAGAGGGGGAUAACAUCCGGAAACGGGUGCUAAUACCGCAUAGUUUUCUUGAUCGCAUGAUUGAGAAAGGAAAGACGGCCUCUGUGCUGUCGCUUAUGGAUGGACCCGCGGCGUAUUAGUUAGUUGGUGAGGUAACGGCUCACCAAGACGAUGAUACGUAGCCGACCUGAGAGGGUGAUCGGCCACAUUGGGACUGAGACACGGCCCAAACUCCUACGGGAGGCAGCAGUAGGGAAUCUUCCGCAAUGGACGAAAGUCUGACGGAGCAACGCCGCGUGAGUGAAGAAAGGUUUUCGGAUCGUAAAACUCUGUUGUCAGAGAAGAACAAGUUGGAGAGUAACUGCUCCAGCCUUGACGGUAUCUGACCAGAAAGCCACGGCUAACUACGUGCCAGCCGCUGC